UACGAGAGGCCCAAACGUUAUUCGGAUUUACUGGGCUUAAAGAGUUCGUAGGCGGCGCAGAAAGUAGGGUGUGAAAGCCCUCGGCUCAACCGAGGAAUUGCGCCCUAAACUACUGUGCUUGAGGAACCUAGAGGUGAGCAGAACUGAUGGUGGAGCGGUGAAAUGCGUUGAUAUCAUCAGGAAUACCGGAGGCGAAGGCGGCUCACUGGGGGGUUAUCUGACGCUGAGGAACGAAAGCCAGGGGAGCGAACGGG
rnacentral:rRNA from 1 species